CGCCUACGGGAGGCAGCAGUGAGGAAUAUUGGUCAAUGGGCGAGAGCCUGAACCAGCCAAGUCGCGUGAAGGAUGACGGCCCUACGGGUUGUAAACUUCUUUUGUCAGGGAGCAAUUGGGUCCACGUGUGGGCUUAGCGAGAGUACCUGAAGAAAAAGCAUCGGCCAACUCCGUGCCAGCAGCCGCGGUAAUACGGAGGAUGCGAGCGUUAUCCGGAUUUACUGGGUGUAAAGGGGGCGCAGACGGCAGCGCAAGCCAGGAGUGAAAGCCCGGGGCCCAACCCCGGGACUGCUCUUGGAACUGCG
rnacentral:rRNA from 1 species